rnacentral:rRNA from 1 species
GCGUGUCGUAGUCCUUCGCUGUAGGGGCCGGGUCGCUUCACUUGUGUCGCGCCGACGCCGCCGCUGACCGUCUCUACCGGCCGCCACCGCGGCGGCGCAGCCGCGAUAGCUCGGGUACCUCCCGCGACGACGUCGCUCGCGACCUGCGGUUGCGCGUGGAGUUCGUGAGGUGGAAGAAGGUCGAGCGGUGCCACCCGCGGCGGCCGUCCGGCCGCUUAGCGUGGCAGCACAAGUCCCCCAAGGUUCUCGUCACGCUGUUCUAAGUCUAGUUAUGCCUACGCGCCUCGUUGUUCUAACCCCUCUAGUCCCUUACCGGGGAGCCGCUCUAUACGACCAUAAAGUGACUAAGCACCCUCGUUAAGGCAUAGUCGCCAUAGUAUCUACACUAGCUACCAAGGUCAGACCUAGGACGGUUCGAGGUCGUUGCUCUCUUUCGAACCAAGCGGUCAAGUCACUUCAGUUCUAGUGUUAUGAAUCCUGUUUCAGGUCCCCAAGGACAGCGUUUACUACUGGUGUAAUUCCUACAAGUAUAACUAGGUAGUCGACCGGGUCAACUACGGAUAACAGAAGACUGAGAACUAGGUCUUUUCCAACUAAUACACUUGGACUUUUCAUUAGUCUCUAACUACAAGUGUUCUUGGGUCCUUCCUCUACUCAAGUUACUGACCUACCGGCUUUUUCAAUCGGGUAUUACUGAGAAAAAACCUUUCCUUCUUGUCUUUCCAUGGUAAGUCCUAAAGAUGACCUCUACAAUUUUUAUACACGAACUAGACUUAAUGUCAGUAAACAUUUUUAAAUCGUAGAAAGAACAUUUUGAGUCUUAUAAACCCGUCCUCGGUAAUUCUCUACAAUUAUUAUACACGACUUAGACUAAAUGUCAGUAAACAUUUGUAAAAUAAACUUUUUCUUACCAGCUCGGGACGCUAAAGGCUA